GAUGAACGCUAGCGGGAGGCCUAACACAUGCAAGCCGAGCGGUAUUGUUUCUUCGGAAAUGAGAGAGCGGCGUACGGGUGCGGAACACGUGUGCAACCUGCCUUUAUCUGGGGGAUAGCCUUUCGAAAGGAAGAUUAAUACUCCAUAAUAUAUUGAUUGGCAUCAAUUAAUAUUGAAAGCUCCGGCGGAUGGAGAUGGGCACGCGCAAGAUUAGCUAGUUGGUGAGGUAACGGCUCACCAAGGCGAUGAUCUUUAGGGGGCCUGAGAGGGUGAUCCCCCACACUGGUACUGAGACACGGACCAGACUCCUACGGGAGGCAGCAGUGAGGAAUAUUGGUCAAUGGGUGCAAGCCUGAACCAGCCAUCCCGCGUGAAGGACGACUGCCCUAUGGGUUGUAAACUUCUUUUGUAUAGGGAUAAACCUACCCUCGUGAGGGUAGCUGAAGGUACUAUACGAAUAAGCACCGGCUAACUCCGUGCCAGCAGCCGCCGUAACAC
rnacentral:rRNA from 1 species